GCGCAUUUUACAAUCUGUGGUGGCCGUAAGGCCUUAAAAGGGAAGCCGGUGCAAGUCCGGCGCGGUCCCGCCGCUGUCAGUGGGGAUGAAAUCCGCAUUCAGCCACUUUGAGACAUAUUUCCCGGUAUCUUCGGGGAAUGGCAAAUUUCAGGGGAAGGCGCGGAGAGUAAGCUGAUCCACGAGCCAGAAGACCUGCCGCGGUUUGUUUUCACCU
rnacentral:ncRNA from 2 species